rnacentral:misc_RNA from 1 species
CGCCUCUGUUCAAGACUGGGAACAUCUCUUGCAUCAGUUGAACGCCUUUCAGCCAGUCUUAGCAAAAUGUGAGCUGCAAGCAUAUGCUGCCGCUUCAAGACAUAAUACCGUGCCAAAAGAUCAAAGUAUUUUGCUUGAUUAGAAGUGAUGGGUGCUUUUGAAUGACUAAUGGAAGAAGUUGUAGAUAUAGCAGAAACAGCUUGGACCUCCCGCAAUGGUUCACGGCCAGCAUUUUGCAGGAAAGGCACUAAAUCAGGACCACCAUACUCCAAUAGCUCAUUUUCGAGGCCCAAAUCAAUCAUAGUCCGGUACAGAUACUCAUGAAACAGUCUGUCAGAUGAUUGAACACUGAGUUGAACAAUUUGGCAGAUAUAUUUCUUUCGAGAAGCCUGAUCAAGCACUGGUCGCAUGGCAGCAGGCCUCACUGGAGAUCCAAACUCCAUUUGCAAAGAUUCAACUCUAAGAGAACGUAAAGCACUAGUAAUUAUCUCAUAGCACUUUUCACGCUGAGCUAUUGCAUGUUCUC